rnacentral:lncRNA from 1 species
AUAAAAGUCAGUAAGUAGACUACAAUGUAUAUUUAAAAAUUUACUCUGUUUAUAUUUUCAGCAUCAACAGCUAAGGUCCUGGAAUUAUUUCAAAUGAUUCAGGAGAUCCAAGGUUGACAUGGACAAGAGAGAGGCAGCUCUACCAAACACCUCUACAAAACUUGAUAGAAACUCCUUGGAAAAUAGUAUUGAAGAAUGCUUAUCCAGGACAUGAAGGUCUGAAAUUUUACAUUUUUGAAGCUAAGGAGACAGGAGCCAUCAUGUCAUUCAUGUCCAUCA